AUGAUUGACCUAAAUGAAGUACCAGAGGAAAAUAUGCCAGAGUUUGCCUUUGUUCAUGACAUGAAUAUACUUCAUCCUUUAUAUUGCACACAACAGAGCAUCCCACUUGGUGGAGCUGACAAUGCUGAGUUUGUGGCUGAAUCUCCCAACCCUGUCGCUGCACACAAUGCUUCGACACAUGUGGUGCAAACUAUGCCUACAGAUAUGGGUGCAACAAGCGAAGCAACUACACAUCCAGCGGCAGCAACAGAGACAGAUGAACACACGCUUGUUGACACUAACACCGCAGGUGGAACAGGUGGGACUGUUGGAAACAGUUUGGCAGGCUUGGUUGGUGAGAACGAUGACGAGGCAUGGUCAUAG
rnacentral:rRNA from 1 species